rnacentral:rRNA from 1 species
UACGGGGGGGGCAAGCGUUGUUCGGAAUUACUGGGCGUAAAGGGCGCGUAGGCGGCCUUCUAAGUCGGACGUGAAAUCCCUCGGCUUAACCGAGGAACUGCGUCCGAGACUGAAAGGCUUGAAUCCGGGAGAGGGAUGUGGAAUUCCAGGUGUAGCGGUGAAAUGCGUAGAUAUCUGGAGGAACACCGGUGGCGAAGGCGGCAUUCUGGACUGUAACUGACACUGAGGAACGAAAGCCAGGGGAGCAAACGGG